CCGACUUCGGUUGGACAAGUAGAGUGGCGCACGGGUGAGUAACGCGUAGGUAAUCUACCCUUAUAUUUGGGAUAACUCCGCGAAAGCGGAGCUAAUACCGGAUACACUUUUCAUAUCGCGAGGGAUGAAGAGGAAAGGUGACCUCUGGAUCAAGUUGCCGUAUAGGGACGAGCCUGCGUACCAUUAGCUGGUUGGUGGGGUAAAGGCCUACCAAGGCGACGAUGGUUAGCGGGUCUGAGAGGAUGAUCCGCCACACUGGAACUGGAACACGGACCAGACUCCUACGGGAGGCAGCAGUGAGGAAUUUUGCGCAAUGGGGGCAACCCUGACGCAGCGACGCCGCGUGGGUGAUGAAGGCUUUCGGGUCGUAAAGCCCUGUCAAGCGGGAAGAAGUGCUAUGUGGUUAAUACCCAUGUAGUUUGACGGUACCGCUGAAGGAAGCACCGGCUAACUCCGUGCCAGCAGCCGCGGUAAUACGGAGGGUGCGAGCGUUGUUCGGAAUUACUGGGCGUAAAGGGCGCGCAGGCGGCUGAUCAAGUCGGAUGUGAAAGUCCACGGCUCAACCGUGGAAGUGCAUCUGAAACUGGUCGGCUUGAGUAUGGGAGGGGAAAGUGGAAUUCCCGGUGUAGAGGUGAAAUUCGUAGAUAUCGGGAGGAACAUCGGUGGCGAAGGCGACUUUCUG
rnacentral:rRNA from 1 species